AAAGUCGUAACAAGGUCUCCGUAGGUGAACCUGCGGAGGGAUCAUCAUAGAAAACAACUUUCUAUAUAAGUUGCAAAAAAGGGGGGGGAAUUUGGGUGGAUAUUGGGAGGAAAGCAUACUCUGCAUUCUUUUCGUUGAUACCUUUUUUCCUUCUUCUUUUUUGUUUCUUCAAACAAACGAUCGCAACUAUAUCAAAGAAAAUUGAUUUGGAUGGGAGAGAGAGAGAUAGCAGCAAUGCUUUUCUUUCUCGCUUGAUAAGAAAAAACAAGUGUUUGCCUGAUAUUCAAUGCCAUUGAUUUGGUUGGAAAAUAUAGUUAUAUACAACUUUCAACAACGGAUCUCUUGGCUCUC
rnacentral:misc_RNA from 1 species